rnacentral:lncRNA from 1 species
GCAGACGGGGCCAAGAGCCAGCCGGGCCUCCCCCUGCGCCGCAGCGGGAGACGGCUGACGCUCGCAAACAUCGUCGCGAGGCGAUAAAAUGCCAGUCCUGGCCUCUCGGUUGAGCAGACUAAGAGCAAUGAGCAGAGCACGUGUUUCUUGUCGGCUUCGAAUGCAGAGCUCUCCACUGCCCAGAGCUGCCUUCCUGUGGUGCAAACAAGGAGAAAGUGAAAAGCGACAUCUCUGUUCGUUGUGCUCCGUUGUCUGAUGGCUCCCGCCUCACCCACAGGGCAUGUGGAUCGCUGUUAAAUAGCUGAAAGGGAAGACCAGCAACUUAGUUCCGUGGCCUCACCUGGAUGAGCCAGGCCUACCCCUCGUCCCCGGACACUGCACGUUCCAUGAGCCACGCCCGCAGCAGUCUCCGGUGCGCCUCUUCCUGUGGAAGCUGCCUGUCUGCAGAUUCAGCCUGUCCACGCGCGAGGCCCUGUCAUGUCCUGGAGGGCGGCAGGGAGCUGUCCAACCACGACGCUGCAGAGCAGCUGGACCCGCAGAACGCCGUCCCCACUGCUCGCUGCUGGUCAAAAUAAUGAACAGAGGGGAUGCUGUCCCCACCCACUUCCCAAAAGGAGGUGUGUAGUGUAAAAGACCAUGGAACUAGAUACGCUUUUCCCUGUUAUCUAUUUGGGAUCUCUCCAGUUUCUCCUACUAAAAAAUAAAA